UAUGUAGGUGGCAAGCGUUGUCCGGAUUUACUGGGUGUAAAGGGAGCGCAGGCGGGACGGCAAGUUGGAUGUGAAAAACUGAGGCUCAACCUCAGUCCUGCAUCCAAAACUGUUGUUCCUGAGUGGAGCAGAGGUAAGCGGAAUUCCGAGUGUAGCGGUGAAAUGCGUAGAUAUUCGGAGGAACACCAGUGGCGAAGGCGGCUUACUGGACUCUAACUGACGCUGAGGCUCGAAAGCGUGGGGAGCAAACAGGAUUAGAUACCCCGGUA
rnacentral:rRNA from 1 species